CAAAGAUUUAUCGGUAAAGGAUGGGGAUGCGUCCGAUUAGCUUGUUGGCGGGGUAACGGCCCACCAAGGCAUCGAUCGGUAGGGGUUCUGAGAGGAAGGUCCCCCACACCGGAACUGAGACACGGUCCAGACUCCUACGGGAGGCAGCAGUGAGGAAUAUUGGUCAAUGGCCGUAAGGCUGAACCAGCCAAGUAGCGUGAGGGAAGACUGCCCUAUGGGUUGUAAACCUCUUUUAUGCGGGGAUAAAGGUGUCCACGUGUGGAUGUUUGCAGGUACCGCAUGAAUAAGGACCGGCUAAUUCCGUGCCAGCAGCCGCGGUAAUACGGAAGGUCCGGGCGUUAUCCGGAUUUAUUGGGUUUAAAGGGAGCGUAGGCCGGUCUUUAAGCGUGCCGUGAAAUUUUGUGGCUCAACCAUGAGAGUGCGGCGCGAACUGGAGACCUUGAGUGCGCGGAAGGCAGGCGGAAUUCGUGGUGUAGCGGUGAAAUGCUUAGAUAUCACGAAGAACCCCGAUUGCGAAGGCAGCCUGCCGCAGCGUUACUGACGCUGAAGCUCGAAAGCGCGGGUAUCGAACAGGAUUAGAUACCCUGGUAGUCCGCGCGGUAAACGAUGGAUGCCCGCUGUCGGCGAUAUACAGUCG
rnacentral:rRNA from 1 species